rnacentral:rRNA from 1 species
GAUGAACGCUGGCGGCGUGCCUAAUACAUGCAAGUCGAGCGAACAGAUAAGGAGCUUGCUCCUUUGACGUUAGCGGCGGACGGGUGAGUAACACGUGGGUAACCUACCUAUAAGACUGGCAUAACUCCGGGAAACCGGGGCUAAUGCAGGAUAACAUGUUGAACCGCAUGGUUCUACAGUGAAAGGCGGCUUUGCUGUCACUUAUAGAUGGACCCGCGCCGUAUUAGCUAGUUGGUGAGGUAACGGCUCACCAAGGCAACGAUACGUAGCCGACCUGAGAGGGGGAUCGGCCACACUGGAACUGAGACACGGUCCAGACUCCUACGGGAGGCAGCAGUAGGGAAUCUGCCGCAAUGGGCGAAAGCCGGACGGAGCAACGCCGCGUGAGUGAUGAAGGUCUUCGGAUCGUAAAACUCUGUUAUUAGGGAAGAACAAAUGCGUAAGUAACUGUGCGCGUCGGGACGGUACCUAAUCAGAAAGCCACGGCUAACUACGUG